rnacentral:lncRNA from 1 species
GGUCAUAAAUUUAAGACAUGUAGUUCUUAGAUUUAAAUUUGAUAGUGGUUGAAAAAAUUUGACAAUAGUUCACAUUCUUAAAAGUCAAGGAAAAUAAAAACAUAACCGCAUUAUGGGUUGAAUUUUCCCCCAAAAUAUAUGUUGAAGUCCUAAUGCCUACACCUAAGAAUACAGCCUUACUUGGAAACAGGGUCUUUGCAGAUAUAAGAUGAGGUCACAAUGGAGAAGGGUGGGCCCUUAAUCAUAUUAGAGAAGACACAGAAACAGAGACAUGGGGAGUAACACCAUGUGAAGACAGAGGUGGAGAUUGGAGGGGUGCAUGUACCAACCAAAGGAAUAUCAAGGGCUGGCAGCAGCACUAGAGCAAGCGAAAGGCAUGAAACAGAUUCUCCCCUAGAGCUGUAAGAGGCAGUGUGGCCCUGGCAACACCUUGCUUUAGGACUUCUAACCUCUAGAAUAAUGAGAUAAUGAGAGUAUAUUUCUGUUGGUUUCGGCCAUGCGGUUUGUGGUAACUGGUUCCAGCAGCCCUAGGAAUCUAAUACACUGCCCAUGUAAGUGAAUAUUAGCUAUUUGCUGAUAAGACAAGAAUUUCUGGUUAUAAUAAAUAUACUGGAAUAGAAUGUGGUUUCUUUUUUUUUGAGAUGGAGUCUCGCUCCAGUCACCAGGCUGGAAUGCAGUAGCGUGAUCUCGGCUCACUGUAACCUCUUCCUCCCAGGUUCAAGCAAUUCUCCUGCCUCAGCCUCCCGAGUAGCUGAGACUACAGGCGCCCGCAACCAUCCCCGACUAAUUUUUGUAUUUUUAGUUGAGACGGGGUUUCACCAUAUUGGCCAGGCUGGUCUUGAACUCCUGACCUUGUGAUCCAUCUGCCUCGGUCUCCCAAAGUGUUGGGAUUACAGGCGUGAGCCACAACACCCGGCCGAAUGUGGUUUCUUAGUGAGUCCUUUACUCAAGGCUGGAAUUAAACAAAGGAGAUGAAUCACGAGCUCUAUGAUAAUAGUCUAAUAGUCUAAUCUAGCCCUCUUAAGUGCAGAGAUGUUUUCCCUCUGAACACCCGUGUGUUUCAGCUCUGUUCCUCUUCCAAUGCCCUUCCACAGGGAACAAAUCCUUUCUUGACCACCAAUGGCUGCAUGACUUAUCCUGAGAAGAUCAUGGGGAUUUUGGAUGCCAGGUCAACCCUUACACUCAGCAAGGAAGUGGAAGGGCCUCAGUUUCAAACACUUUGUAAACACAGAGAUAAGGUCGUCCCUCUGUCACCCAGCCUGGAGUGUAGUGGUGCCGCCAGGCCUCACUGCAACCUCCAACUCCUGGGCUCAAGUGAUCCUCCAACCACAGCCUCCUGACUAGCUGGGAUUACAGGUUAUUUUGAGGAUCAAGUGAAACUUAGAAACAAUAACAACAAAAAAAGCAAAGUCUGUGAUCAAGAAGAAUUACUCUGUUGCAACAAUAUAAACUAAGAAAAAAAUACGCAAAAUUCUCUGCUGCCUUGGGAGAUGAUCUCAUGAUGUGUAUCAUUUACUUUUAAUAUUUUUAUUUAUUUAUUUUUGAGACGGAGUCUCGCUCUGUCGCCCAGGCUGGAGUGCAGUGGCGUGAUCUCGGCUCACUGCAACCUUCGCCUCCCGGGCUCAAGUGAUUCUCCUGCUUCAGCCUCCUGAGUAGCUGGGAUUAUAGGCAUGUGCCGCCAUGCCUGCCUAGUUUUUUAUUUUUAGUAGAGAUGGGGUUUCACCAUGUUGGUCAGGCUGCUCUCAAACUCCUGACCUUGUGAUCUGUGCGCCUCAGCCUCCCAAAGUGCUGGGAUUACUGGUGUGACCGACCGUGCCUGGCCAAUGUGUAUGAUUUAAUAGCCAGCAGCAACAGGCCACUAACAUGCCAUCUGCUAACAGGGGCUCUAGCUAUUAACAUCAACAGAGCUAAAAACUCUUAUGUCUGAUCCCUUGCAAAUGGCGAAGACCUGGCUGAGAAUUAUUAUCUCAUGCUUUCAGAGAAAACUUUGCUUGUCCUGCACUGAAAAAUCUGGCUGCAAUAAUCACAUGGAAGAAGGUAUGUUUGUUGGCAUGGUUCAUGGGCUGGCUUAUGACUUCUAAGCAGAAGAUACAAAAUAAUAUAAAAAUCCUGCAACAUGCACAAUGUAGCUGAUAUUCAUGUUCUCUUUAAAUAUCUUAACACUGACUUACAUAUUUAAGGGUGUGGAGUCUUUGAGCUUGGGAAGCAUCUUAUUACUGAGGUACAAAUGCUAAAAGAGGGACAUUUCUUCUAUCUACCGCAUUUUCAAUGAAAAGAUGCUGAAGGUGAAUAAACAGCUCUGCAAACCCAGUUUUGUUUAACUUGGCAACAGCAGUAAGUAAGUAUCACUGGACACAGAGACACUGGAAUAGAUUCAGUCUUUAGUCUUAUUCAUCACGUCUGACCUUGGGCAUAUUACAUGGUUUUCCUGAGCCUAUGAAAUCAUGCGGCUGAACGAGCUGAAAACUAAGAUUCUUUCCUUUGCUAAUAAAUUUCAGCAAACGAUAGGAGUAAGAACGGCUGUCUAACGAGACUACCAAAUGCUACGAGACGCAGCAAGCAAUGUCCCUUUACCUAAUGGAUACAGCUUCUUAACUGUUUAUCCAAAGUCUCCCCAAGCAAAUUCUAAAUUAUUCUAAAUUAUUUGAGUAACAAAGAUUGGGCCCUUAUACCUGUGACGUGUCUGGCAAUGACAAAGAAUGUGGAACAUGGGAAGCAUUUAAUACAUAUUUAUU